GAGGGUCGGUGCAGCCGAUGCUAUCAAUGGCGAUGGCCAAGUGGGGAGAAGAAUUACACAGGAAUGAGCAGCAGUAUGGUAUCUGCCACGUCUCUGGAUGGAUAGUCAUAGACGGUCGUGUCUUGUGCCUACUGACUAUCUAUCCAGAGACGUGGCAGAUA